rnacentral:rRNA from 1 species
UACGUAGGGUGCGAGCGUUAAUCGGAAUUACUGGGCGUAAAGUGUGCGCAGGCGGCAGAGCAAGUCGAGUGUGAAAGCCCCGGGCUUAACUGGGGAAUUGCGCUCGAAACUACUUUGCUGGAGUGUGGCAGAGGAAGGUGGAAUUCCACGUGUAGCGGUGAAAUGCGUAGAGAUGUGGAGGAACACCAAUGGCGAAGGCAGCCUUCUGGGCCAACACUGACGCUCAUGCACGAAAGCGUGGGGAGCAAACAGG